AGCAUGGUAUUUUGGGCCUCAAUCCUGCAAUAGGAUCUGUGUGAGUGGACCCUGGUGCCUAUGCAUAGUCCCACUGAAGAAACUGGAUCUCCAAAGAAGUUCAAAGGGUCCACCUGAGCAGUAGUCCUUCAACUGAUAAGGAUUGAUGUUGACAUAUACUUCUGAAUGCUGUACGCAAAUGGAAAGUACAUCUAAACUAGCUGUUCAAGUGCUACUACUGACAAUGAUAAAUGCAUGAGACUACGUUGAGAUUACCAUCAGCUUCCAUUUAAAAAAGAAAGUUUCAAGCCUUCAUGUUUGCAGAGAAAAACUUGAAAACAGGAAGCAAGUGUGUUCCUAAAGACUCAAAAUCAGAAGGCAAACUAAUAAUUCACAAUUUAUUAUUUAAAAAUUGUUAUGCUGAUCUCAUGAUUUUGAGAACUGACUCAUGAUUAUUCAAUGCUUGAGGCUGUCAAUGCUGAUAAGCAAAAGGGAGUUUAUCCAUCUUUAAGCAUGUGUGGCUUUUUUUUUGUACAUUUGUGAUUGAAUUUCCUAUAAACGUCCAUGAAAAGCUCAAAUAAAACAACAGCAGGCCGGCCAACCAAUCCCUUCUUCCCCCCACAAAAUCCUCAAAACAAAAAAAACCCCAAACUCAUCAUAAUGUUUAAAAUAAUCACAUGAAUUUUUGAGCCAGUCUUGUGAAUUUUCAACUUGCAGGGCUGACAAGAUUGUUGUCUCUUAAUCAAAGCAGUAAACUGUCACCCUACUCCAACCUUAGUCUGGCAUCUGAGAAUCAAACUGGGUUCUUUCUAGCCCUCACAUCUCCAGUAAUUUGUAUUGUGCAUUUUUAAUUUAGUUAACAAUUCUGUUGCUGAAGCAUGAGCCAGAAAAAAUCUAGCCUCACUCUACCAGUGUUGUGUUGGACCUGCAGUGGUAACGAGUAAAAAGCAGA